UUUUCGUUGAGGCAGACAAGGAUGAGAACCUCAGGUUCGACAAGCCACCGCAGGUGGCGCAGAACGUCGUCGCAAAGCGACGGCGGCCCGCAGGGUGAGCGCGCAGCGCGAAUAAUCCUAGUCCGCCAGCCA
rnacentral:sRNA from 1 species